rnacentral:lncRNA from 1 species
CUACACACACAAAUGCACCUGUACACUCACAUGUGCCACUACACACACAUGCACCUGUGCACUCAAAUGUGCCCCCCCACAAAUGCACCUGUGCACUCACAUGUGCCCCUACACACAUAUGCACCUGUGCACUCACAUGUGCCCCCCCACAAAUGCACCUGUGCACUCACAUGUGCCCCUACACACACACACACUCACACGUGCCCCCACACACAAAUGCACCUGUACACUCACAUGUGCCCCUACAUACAAAUGCACUUGUGCACUCACAUGUGCCCCUCCACAGACACAAAUGCACCUGUGCACUCACAUCUGUCCCUACACACACACAAAUGCAUCUGUACACUCACAUGUGCCCUCCUCC